UACGGAGGGGGCUAGCGUUGUUCGGAAUUACUGGGCGUAAAGCGCGCGUAGGCGGCUUUGUAAGUUAGAGGUGAAAGCCCGGGGCUCAACCCCGGAAUUGCCUUUAAGACUGCAUCGCUUGAAUCCGGGAGAGGUGAGUGGAAUUCCGAGUGUAGAGGUGAAAUUCGUAGAGAUCGGGAGGAACACCAAUGGCGAAAGCAGGUACCUGGACUAGUACUGACACUCAGCUGCGAAAGCUAGGGGAGCAAACAGG
rnacentral:rRNA from 1 species